rnacentral:tRNA from 1 species
GGGCCCAUAGCUCAGCUGGUUAGAGCGCACGACUGAUAAUCGUGAGGUCGGAAGUUCAAGUCUUCUUGGGCCCACCA